rnacentral:lncRNA from 11 species
UCCGAAGUCAGAUGGAUGGUUGCUCUUUCUUCAGCCAAGGAUGUGGUGCAGACUGUGAAAUAGGAAAAGACGAAAACAAACUCUGGAUCAUGUAUGGAGCUGAGGACAGAAAGAUGUGGAGCUGUUUUGUGCUGGAGCUGAAAUGACGGUACGGAUGCUCAGCGCCUUGGGAGGUGGUUUGGAAGCCAAGUUACAGCCGAGCUGUUCAAGGGAUAGAAUGGGAGCUGGGGAGGAGAACCCUGCUGCUGCCGCCACUCUUGCGUGAGAUUCUUCUGCGUUCCAAAAACCAACAUGGACUGGAAUGGCUUUUUGAAAAGAAGAGAUUCCCCCCUCCAUGCUCCUCUGAUGCCUUGGCCACACAAGUAGAGAGAGCCCGUGUCUUACAAAUAAAAUGUACCAAAAAGUACGGUGAAAUAAAGACGGUUUGAGG